rnacentral:tRNA from 1 species
GGGCCUGUAGCUCAGUGGCAGAGCGACCGGCUCAUAACCGGUUGGUCGCAGGUUCGAAUCCUGCCGGGCCCACCA